GUGCGUGGGGGUUAAGCGCGCGCUCUAGUCGAACGGGUUUCGCCACGAUUUGUGUAAUAUAUGCACCUAAAGCAGAAAACAAGAGAAAACGAGGAAUUUGACCGUCGCGCAAUACCGCGCUUCGUCCUGGAGAUAAUUUGUGACCAGGAACAGCUACGGAACCUUCGUACUGAUGCACUUAAAAGUAAUACGCGAUACAAAAUGCCCUGAGAAGACAAAUUACGUGGUAGACAAAACAGUGUGGGAGAGAGAAGCAAAUAAGGACACAAAACACGAAGAGGAGGGCGUAUAAGGGAGUCGAUCAUAUAACGUCCACGAAAUAAUGGGCGCAAGCCAAGUCGCAAGUCGUUGAAACGUCUACGGCGAAUAAUGAGGUAGCAUAUCACAGGAGACCGGAGAUCGUCGUAAAGUGGCGUGCUGCAAUUGACGCACAAUAGUGUUCGCUGUAGAACAUCCCCCACUUGCCCGCCCAUAAUAAUACUGCGUCACAACAAUCAGUGAAGCAAUGAUCAAUGGUUUCUGGCUUUUCCCACAAUCUACAAUUUGGGUUCCAAGGAACAAAGAAUCCCGUAGUCUUCUGGCACGUCUUCACAGGUAGCGUCGAGGGCUCAGCAGCAAUCCAAAGUAUUGUACCACAUUCGAACAAUGGGAGGUACUGCUACGAAAUUGAUCAAGGGCUACACCAAGGUAACGCGCAGCACCAAUACCCCAGCAAAUGUCGGCAAACUGCUAUGGA